rnacentral:tRNA from 1 species
GAAGGUAUAGCUCAGUGGUAGAGUGUGUGCUUAGCAUGCACGAGGUCCUGGGUUCAAUCCCCAGUACCUCUG